GACGAACGCUGGCGGCGUGCUUAACACAUGCAAGUCGAACGGAAAGGCCCUGCUUUUGUGGGGUUCUCGAGUGGCGAACGGGUGAGUAACACGUGAGUAACCUGCCCUUGACUUUGGGAUAACUUCAGGAAACUGGGGCUACUACCGUAUAGGAGCUCCUGCUGCAUGGUGGGGGUUGGAACGUUUCGGCGGUUGGGGAUGGACUCGCGGCUUAUCAGCUUGUUGGUGGGGUAGUGGCUUACCAAGGCUUUGACGGGUAGCCGGCCUGAGAGGGUGACCGGCCACAUUGGGACUGAGAUACGGCGCAGACUCCUACGGGAGGCAGCAGUGGGGAAUAUUGCACAAUGGGCGGAAGCCUGAUGCAGAAACGCCGCGUGCGGGAUGACGGCCUUCGGGUUGUAAACCGCUGUCGCCUGUGACGAAGCGUGAGUGACGGUAAUGGGUAAAGAAGCACCGGCUAACUACGUG
rnacentral:rRNA from 1 species